UGAAUACGAAAUGCUACGGCAUUGAAGUGGUCUAUGCCAGUCUUCCAAGAAAAUCUCGUCAUAUCUUAAGCAGUAGAUGCCUGUACCUUAAACCGACACAGGUAGGUAGGUAGAGUAUACCAGGGGGCGCGAGAUAACUCUCUCUAAGGAACUCGGCAAAAUAACCUCGUAACUUCGGAAGAAGAGGUACCCUUGAAAAAGGGUUGCAAUAACCAGACCCUGGCGACUGUUUACCAAAAACACAGGUCUCCGCUAAUUCGUAAGAUCAAGUAUGGAGGCUGACGCCUGCCCAGUGCCGGAAGGUUAAAGAAGUUGGUCAAUCUUUGAUGAGGCUGGCGACUGAAGCCCCGGUGAACGGCGGCCGUAACAAUAACGGUCCUAAGGUAGCGAAGUUCCUUGUCGGGUAAGUUCCGACCCGCACGAAAGGCGUAACGAUCAGGGUGCUGUCUCGGAGAGAGACUCGGCGAAGUAGACAUGUCUGUGAAGAUGCGGACUACCUGCACCUGGACAAAAGACCCUAUGAAGCUUUAUUGUAUCUUGGAAUUGGGUUUGGGCCUUGCUUGCGCAGGAUAGGUGGGAGGCUGUGUAGAUAUUCUUGCGGGAAUGUUGGAGCCAACGGUGAGAUACCACUCUAGUAAGGCUAAAAUUCUAACUCUGAACCGUUAUCCGGUCAGAGAACAGUUUCAGGUGGGCAGUUUGACUGGUCGGUCGCCUCCUAAAAGGUAACGGAGGCGCGCAAGGGUUCCCUCAGGCUGGUUGGACAUCAGUCGUAGAGUGUAAAGGCAUAAGGGAGCUUGACUGCGAGACCCACAAGUCGAGCAGAGACGAAAGUCGGCCUUAGUGAUCCGACGGUUCCACGUGGAAGGGCCGUCGCUCAACGGAUAAAAGUUACUCUAAGGAUAACAGGCUGAUCUCCCCCAAGAGUUCACAUCGACGGGGAGGUUUGGCACCUCGAUGUCGGCUCAUCGCAUCCUGGGGCGGUAGUACGUCCCAAGGGUUGGGCUGUUCGCCCAUGAAAGCGGUACGCGAGCUGGGUUCAGAACGUCGUGAGACAGUUCGGUCCAUAUCCGGUGCAGGCGUUAGAGCAUUGAGAGGAGUCCCCCUUAGUACGAGAGGACCGGGGGGAAUACACCGCUGGUGUACCAGUUAUCGUGCCAACGGUAAACGCUGGGUAGCCAUGUGUAGCGCGGAUAACUGCUGAAAGCAUCUAAGUAGGAAGCCCACCUUAAGAUGAGUGCUCUCACCGCUAUAAGCGGGUAAGGUCACGGUAAGAACAACCGUUAUAUAGGCAUUAAGUAUACGUGCAGUAAUGCAUUUAGCUGAGAUGUACUAACAGACCGAGGGCUUGAC
rnacentral:rRNA from 1 species